rnacentral:rRNA from 1 species
GAGUUUGAUCAUGGCUCAGAUUGAACGCUGGCGGCAGGCCUAACACAUGCAAGUCGAACGGUAACAGGAAGAAGCUUGCUUCUUUGCUGACGAGUGGCGGACGGGUGAGUAAUGUCUGGGAAACUGCCUGAUGGAGGGGGAUAACUACUGGAAACGGUAGCUAAUACCGCAUAACGUCGCAAGACCAAAGAGGGGGACCUUCGGGCCUCUUGCCAUCGGAUGUGCCCAGAUGGGAUUAGCUAGUAGGUGGGGUAACGGCUCACCUAGGCGACGAUCCCUAGCUGGUCUGAGAGGAUGACCAGCCACACUGGAACUGAGACACGGUCCAGACUCCUACGGGAGGCAGCAGUGGGGAAUAUUGCACAAUGGGCGCAAGCCUGAUGCAGCCAUGCCGCGUGUAUGAAGAAGGCCUUCGGGUUGUAAAGUACUUUCAGCGGGGAGGAAGGGAGUAAAGUUAAUACCUUUGCUCAUUGACGUUACCCGCAGAAGAAGCACCGGCUAACUCCGUGCCAGCAGCCGCGGUAAUACGGAGGGUGCAAGCGUUAAUCGGAAUUACUGGGCGUAAAGCGCACGCAGGCGGUUUGUUAAGUCAGAUGUGAAAUCCCCGGGCUCAACCUGGGAACUGCAUCUGAUACUGGCAAGCUUGAGUCUCGUAGAGGGGGGUAGAAUUCCAGGUGUAGCGGUGAAAUGCGUAGAGAUCUGGAGGAAUACCGGUGGCGAAGGCGGCCCCCUGGACGAAGACUGACGCUCAGGUGCGAAAGCGUGGGGAGCAAACAGGAUUAGAUACCCUGGUAGUCCACGCCGUAAACGAUGUCGACUUGGAGGUUGUGCCCUUGAGGCGUGGCUUCCGGAGCUAACGCGUUAAGUCGACCGCCUGGGGAGUACGGCCGCAAGGUUAAAACUCAAAUGAAUUGACGGGGGCCCGCACAAGCGGUGGAGCAUGUGGUUUAAUUCGAUGCAACGCGAAGAACCUUACCUGGUCUUGACAUCCACGGAAGUUUUCAGAGAUGAGAAUGUGCCUUCGGGAACCGUGAGACAGGUGCUGCAUGGCUGUCGUCAGCUCGUGUUGUGAAAUGUUGGGUUAAGUCCCGCAACGAGCGCAACCCUUAUCCUUUGUUGCCAGCGGUCCGGCCGGGAACUCAAAGGAGACUGCCAGUGAUAAACUGGAGGAAGGUGGGGAUGACGUCAAGUCAUUAUGGCCCUUACGACCAGGGCUACACACGUGCUACAAUGGCGCAUACAAAGAGAAGCGACCUCGCGAGAGCAAGCGGACCUCAUAAAGUGCGUCGUAGUCCGGAUUGGAGUCUGCAACUCGACUCCAUGAAGUCGGAAUCGCUAGUAAUCGUGGAUCAGAAUGCCACGGUGAAUACG